AAGUCGUAACAAGGUUUCCGUAGGUGAACCUGCGGAAGGAUCAUUACACUCAGUAGUUUUCUACUGCUCAGCGGGAGCGGAAAGCCUGCCAGCCUGCUGGCUUGCGAGUACGCCCUCUGUCUGAAACCCUUGUCUUUUUGCGUACUCAUGUUUCCUCGGUGGGCUUGCCCGCCGGCUGGACAACCUAUAAACCUUUUUAAUUUUCAAUCAGCGUCUGAAUAAUUAUAAUAAUUACAACUUUCAACAACGGAUCUCUUGGUUCUG
rnacentral:misc_RNA from 1 species